AGAACUCCCCGAGACACCCGAGACAUCAGCCUUCUCGCUCCGCGGCCCUGCAGGACCUGCCCGCCGGGAGCCCCGGAGUCCGCGGCAGCGCCGAGGGCCCCUCCCCCAGGCCUCUGGGCUCUGAGGUAACGCGGCCGCGGCUGCUCCCGGGCCCCUCGUCCCACUCGCCCCUCUCUUUUUUAUUUUUCCUCGCCCUCUCUCUCCCUUGCCCGUUCAUCUCGACCCUUUAGCAAGCAUGGAAGCCCAGCGAGGCGGGGGAUUGCUCGGAGGCCGAGCUCCCGGCAGCCUCCUCCGCCUUCCUUCCCGCUGUGCCCUCGGGGCUCCUACCUCCACCUCGGCGCGGCGCUCUGCCCCCACCCGAAGUCUCCAAGGCGGCAGCUCCCCUCUCCUGUGUGGUUCUUGGGGCCUUAGAGGCAAUGUCAUGAAAAAAAGGGUAUUAAUCACUUUCCUACAGAAAUGAUAAGAUGAGACUAAGUAGAAUAACUUGAAAGAGCUACGAGUUGUUAUUUUUGGAAGGAGAGAUAGGAACGCGUAAAUCCAAUAGCUAAACUUUCUAGACGCUGAAGAGUUUUUGGCGAUAGAUCAUUUUGACAUUGGGGGUUCAUAGGGUUAGCGUUUUUUGUGUUGUUGUUGCUGUUGUUUUUCCACUAGAAUUUUGAAUCGGAUUUUACCAGCAAUUGGUAACGGAAAGGAAAGGAUGUGUCUUCCAAUUGAGAAACAGUGGUUAAAAACUGAAAGUGGGCCGGGCGCGGUGGUUCACGCCUGUAAUCCCAGCACUUUAGGAGGCCGAGGCGGGCGGAGUAACUGAGGUCAAGAGUUCCAGACCACACUGGCCAACAUGGCGAAACCCCAUCUCUACUAAAAAUACAAAAUUUAGCCGGGCGUGGUGGCGCACGGCUGUAAUUCCAGGUACGCGGGAGGCUGAAGCAGGAGAAUCGCUUGAACCCAGGAGGCGGAGGUUGCAGUAAGCCCAGAUUGUGCCACUGCACUCCAGCCUGGCGACAGAGCAAGACUCCAUCUCAAAAAAAUAAAUAAAUGAAUGAAAAUAAAAAAUAAAUUAGCUGGGCGUGGUGGUGCGCCUGUAAUCCCAGCUACUCGGGAGGCUGAGGCAGGAGAAUCGCUUGAACCCAGGAGGCGGAGGUUGUAGUGAGCCCAGAUCGCACCAUUGCACUCCAGCCUGGGCGAUAUAGCGAGACUCCGUCUCAAAAAAAUAAAACAACAACAACAAAAAAAAACUGAAAUAUGAUACGAAAGAAUAAACAUCCUUCAGUGGUUAACUUUUUAAAAUAGCCUUUAUAUGUAUGUAGGCUACAGUGUCUAUUAGUGUUUUAUAAUCAUUGUUUUUCACUUAGGGAUUAUUUUGGCUUUUGUUUUUUUUUUUCCUGGUACCUUUAGGGUUAGCAUGGAGGUCCAGGGUCCAUCUGACUCCCUAGGUUCGAAUCUCCCAAGGCCAUUUUUUUACACACCGUGAUUAUUACUAAUUUCCCUGUGGUUUUUCUCAUUAUAAAAUGAGAAUAUUGCUGCCGACAGGUCUUCUCAUUAUUGUGAGGAUUAAAUGAGCUAUUUGUUAAAGGCUUAAACUUUCAGUAAACGUCAGCAUUCUUCAGCCAUGAUAGUGCAGAGUUUAAGAGGUAGCUCUACCUGGCAUUGUGUACCAGGCACUUUCUAGCCCUGUGACAUUGGGAUGCUUGCUUCUUAUGCUUCCCGUGCCUCACCUGUAAAUGGGGUAUUAGCCACUGUGCAGAGAAUGUUGUGAACAUGCUUGCACAGUGCCUUUCAUUGAGUAAGUGCCCAGUAAGUGUUAUCUUUUGGGCUUUGAAAGAAUAGAUUGAGGCCCUGUGCCUUAGAUGCCACAUAGGCAAUUGGGAGUCACUUGACCUUGGACAGGCAGGAAAGGACAAUUUUAGGUGGAGGUGGUUGAAACAAUGUGAGGUGGUAAGGACCUAAGCUGAGGUGAAUGAGAAAAAAGCAGUCAGGUGCAGGUUUCCUAUUUCCUUAAUAAGAAAGUAAGCAAUUCUCUUGCAGGAGGUACAGCUGGGCACUGGAAUGCCUGGUCUCAUGAUAGCAUUGGUUUGGUCAGAACCCAGUGCAAUAAGCUUGUCAAGCCAUGGGAAUCAGUGAGAAUUCUAAGCCCCAAACAGAAACAAAUGAACUGGGUUUUUACAGGCAGUGCCUUCAUCUAUAACUGCACUCAGAGUUCUUUGGACUCAUAUUUUUAAGUCAAAGAGAAUGCAUGCUUGGAGCACGUACUUGGGCCUGGCCUCCUGAUCAAAGCUGUGGAAUAAUUUGGUUUUUCAUGUUAUUAAAUACUGACCAUCCCCUACUUUCUGCACAUGUUUAAAGGAAAAAUGUCUAAAAAGCCCUAGCAUGAAAUAUUUGAGGCAUUCACUCCCAGAGUGCUAAAAUCGUAAAAGCCUUUAUAAUUUCAGCUGGGUGUGAUGGGAUCAUGCCUGUAAUCCCAUCACUUUGGGAGGCUGAGGCAGGUGGGUCACCUGAGGCUGGGAGUUCAAGACCAGCCUAACCAACAUGGAGAAACCCGGUCUCUACUAAAAAUACAAAAAUUAGCCCGGCGUGGUGGCACAUGUCUAAUACCAGCUACUAGGGAGGCUGAGGCAGGAGAAUCACUUGAACCUGGGAGGCGGAGGUUGCAGUGAGCCGAGAUCAUGCCAUUCCACACCAGCCUGGGCAACAAGAGCGAAACUCAUCUCAAAAAAAUAUAUAUAUAUUUAUACUUUCUCCUACUGUUACUGUCUCCUGUGGGUCAAGACCAACCCUAUCCCAGGAGAUUCCAGGGUUGCCAGUAGUGACCCUGAAACAAAAUCAUCUCUUGCCUUAGGGAAGACAAAGGCCAAAAGCCUACUCUCCACAGGUAGGCUUCGGGUACCUGGUAAGGGUAGUAGAAAGAAGAAAUGUAGACCGGGUGCGGUGGCUGACGCCUGUAAUCCCAGUACUUUGAGAGGCCAAGGCAGGCGAAUCACCUGAAGUCAGGAGUUCGAGACCAGUCUGACCAACAUGGAGAAACCUGGUCUCUACUAAAAAUACAAAAUUAGCCGGAUGUGGUGGCACAUGCCUGUAAUCCCAGCUACUCUGGAGGAUGAGGCAGAAGAAUCGCUUGAACUCUGGGAGGCGGAGGUUGCGAUGAUGAGCUAAGAUCGCGCCACUGCACCCCAGCCUAGGCAACAACAGCAAAACUCCAUCUCAAAAAAAAAAAGAAAUGUAGGUCGGGCACAGUGGCUCAUGCCUAUAAUCCCAGCACUUUGGGAGGCCGAGGAAGGCAGAUCACUUGAGGUCAGGAGUUCAAGACCAGCCUGGCCAAUACGGUGAAACCCCAUCUCUACUAAAAAUACAAAAAUUAGCUAGGCAUGGUGGCGCACGCCUAUAAUCCCAGCUACUCGGGAGGCUGAGGCAGGAGAAUUGCUUGAGCCCGGGGUGGGGGGUGGAAGUUGCAGUGAACAGAGAUCGCAUCACUGCACUCCAGCCUGGGCAACAAGAGUGAGACUCAGUCUCAAACAAAAAAAAUGAAUAAAAUAAAUAAAUAUGUAUUUUCUCCUCUGUAGCACAGAAACAUUUACUAUCAACAUCUUAGCAUUUUGGGGAGCGGGAAAUGAGAUAAUGUCUGACAAAGUACCUAAUGCCUGUAAACUAAUAGCCAUACAACAAAAAAUUGGCUACCUUAUAAAUUUAGGUAGAUAUAUGAGGCUCAAUACAAUUGAAGAUUUAGAUUUAGUCAGUAUACAGAAUAAAGGCAGCAUAAUUUAGAAUAAAUUACUCAUUCACAUAAGUUUUGUUAUAUUGUUAUAACUGUUUUAUUAACUACUGUUAAUCUCUUAGUGUGCCUAAUUUAUAAAUUAAACAUCAUAAGUAUGUAUGUAUAGGAAAAAACAAAGUAUAUUUAGGGUUCCAGGCAUCCACCAGGGGUCUUGGGACCUAUCCCUUGUAGAUAAGGUGGGGACUACUGUAAUUACAACUUUUUUUUUUUUUUUUUUUUUUUUUUUUUGAGAUGGAGUCUCGCUCUGUCGCCCAGGCUGGAGUGCAGUGGUGCGAUCUCAGCUCACUGCAAGCUCCGCCUCCCGGGUUCAUGCCAUUCUCCUGCCUCAGCCUCCCAAGUAGCUGGGACCACAGGCACCCGCCACCAUGCCCGGCUAAUUUUUUGGAUAUUUAGUAGAGAUGGGGUUUCACCGUGUUAGCCAGGAUGGUCUCGAUCUCCUGACCUUGUGACCCACCCACCUUGGCGUCCCAAAGUACUGGGAUUACAGGCAUGAGCUACCGCACCCAGCCUAAUUACAACUUAUUUUUAUUCCUAUUCAUUCUGCACAUCCCAACACAAGGCAAGAAGAAUCUAGAAAACAAUGCACAACCUACAUUGAGCUCCACCUCCUAUAAUUCCUAUUAGAUGUUAUUUGUAUCAAGUCAGCACCCUCCUACAUAGUAUUAUUAUACUCUGUAGUUGUUUUUCCUAUACAGAUAAUCUUUCUGUUACAUAUUGCUUUGUUAACAGAUUUUAAUUACAUAAUAUAUCUAUCUUACCAACUUUAUAAGUUUGUUGUAGGCAGAAGCAAUCUGUCUUUCCUAUUUUAUAGUGUUUGAGGCUGUAGGUAGCAAGUGUUGAAUGAAUAACUACUUUGUUACUUCUGAAAAGCUUACUUUUUGAUUAAUACUUUUCCUUUUUACCAAUUCCUUUUUCUUUUUUUUUCAG
rnacentral:lncRNA from 10 species